ensembl:lncRNA
GUAGUGUUGUAUACUGUAGAUAGUGGUGUUGUAGUGUUGUAUACUGUAGAUAGUGGUGGUGUAUACUGUAGAUAGUGGUGUUGUAGUGUUGUAUACUGUAGAUAGUGGUGUUGUAGUGUUGUAUACUGUAGAUAGUGGUGUUGUAGUGUUGUAUACUGUAGAUAGUGGUGUUGUAGUGUUGUAUACUGUAGAUAGUGGUGUUGUAUACUGUAGAUAGUGGUGUUGUAGUGUUGUAUACUGUAGAUAGUGG